rnacentral:rRNA from 1 species
GAGAGGACGAUCAGCCACACUGGAACUGAGACACGGUCCAGACUCCUACGGGAGGCAGCAGUGGGGAAUUUUGGACAAUGGGGGCAACCCUGAUCCAGCCAUUCCGCGUGAGUGAAGAAGGCCUUCGGGUUGUAAAGCUCUUUCGCAAGAGAAGAAAACUUGCUAUCUAAUAAAUAGUAAGUAUGACGGUAUCUUGACAAGAAGCACCGG